UACAGAGGUCCCAAGCGUUGUUCGGAUUCAUUGGGCGUAAAGAGCUCGUAGGCGGUGUGUCGCGUCGGCCGUGAAAACCUGCAGCUUAACUGUGGGCUUGCGGUCGAUACGGGCAUCACUGGAGUUCGGCAGGGGAGACUGGAAUUCCUGGUGUAGCGGUGAAAUGCGCAGAUAUCAGGAGGAACACCGGUGGCGAAGGCGGGUCUCUGGGCCGAUACUGACGCUGAGGAGCGAAAGCGUGGGGAGCGAACAGG
rnacentral:rRNA from 1 species